GAUACCUCUAUGUCUGCCAGAGUGGCAGAGAAA
rnacentral:sRNA from 1 species